ACGGAAGGCAGCAGUGGGGAAUCUUGGACAAUGGGGGCAACCCUGAUCCAGCCAUGCCGCGUGAGCGAUGAAGGCCCUAGGGUUGUAAAGCUCUUUCACCCGUGAAGAUAAUGACGGUAGCGGGAGAAGAAGCCCCGGCUAACUCCGUGCCAGCAGCCGCGGUAAUACGGAGGGGGCUAGCGUUGUUCGGAAUUACUGGGCGUAAAGCGCGCGUAGGCGGAGAUCCAAGUCGGGGGUGAAAUCCCGGGGCUCAACCCCGGAACUGCCUCCGAUACUGGGUCUCUGGAGGACGGGAGAGGCGAGUGGAAUGCCGAGUGUAGAGGUGAAAUUCGUAGAUAUUCGGCGGAACACCCGUGGCGAAGGCGGCUCGCUGGUCCGUUUCUGACGCUGAGGCGCGAAAGCGUGGGGAGCAAACAGGAUUAGAUACCCUGGUA
rnacentral:rRNA from 1 species